rnacentral:rRNA from 1 species
GACGAACGCUGGCGGCGUGCCUAACACAUGCAAGUCGAACGGAAAGGCCCUGCUUUUGUGGGGUGCUCGAGUGGCGAACGGGUGAGUAACACGUGAGUAACCUGCCCUUGACUUUGGGAUAACUUCAGGAAACUGGGGCUAAUACCGGAUAGGAGCUCCUGCUGCAUGGGGGGGGUUGGAAAGGUUCGGCGGUUGGGGAUGGACUCGCGGCUUAUCAGCUUGUUGGUGGGGUAGUGGCUUACCAAGGCUUUGACGGGUAGCCGGCCUGAGAGGGUGACCGGCCACAUUGGGACUGAGAUACGGCCCAGACUCCUACGGGAGGCAGCAGUGGGGAAUAUUGCACAAUGGGCGGAAGCCUGAUGCAGCAACGCCGCGUGCGGGAUGACGGCCUUCGGGUUGUAAACCGCUUUCGCCUGUGACGAAGCGUGAGUGACGGUAAUGGGUAAAGAAGCACCGGCUAACUACGUG